UACGAGAGGCGCAAACGUUAUUCGGAAUUACUGGGCUCAAAGAGUUCGUAGGCGGCGCAGAAAGUAGGGUGUGAAAGCCCUCGGCUCAACCGAGGAAUUGCGCUCUAAACUACUGUGCUUGAGGGACCUAGAGGUGAGCGGAACUGAUGGUGGAGCGGUGAAAUGCGUUGAUAUCAUCAGGAAGACCAGUGGCGAAGGCGGGUCUCUGGACAGUUCCUGACACUGAGGCACGAAGGCCAGGGGAGCAAACGGG
rnacentral:rRNA from 1 species